UACGUAGGGUGCAAGCGUUGUCCGGAAUUAUUGGGCGUAAAGAGCUCGUAGGCGGUCUGUCGCGUCUGCUGUGAAAACUCGGGGCCUAACCCCGGGCCUGCAGUGGGUACGGGCAGACUAGAGUGCGGUAGGGGAGACUGGAAUUCCUGGUGUAGCGGUGAAAUGCGCAGAUAUCAGGAGGAACACCGGUGGCGAAGGCGGGUCUCUGGGCCGAUACUGACGCUGAGGAGCGAAAGCGUGGGGAGCGAACAGG
rnacentral:rRNA from 1 species